CGAUGACGUCACACAGGAGGAAGAACAAAACAAGAUGGCGACUGGCGGAGAAUACGUUGUUUUGGUUAUUAUGGUUUCUAGGUCUUAAUUACAACGUACAUGUGCACGUGUGUGUCGUUUAACGCAGUAAACGUCCUUAUUAAUUGUUUGUAUGCGGAUACAUUAGUCUGAGUGCACUUUGACGUGCUAGCCUAGCCUGCUGGUUAGCUUAGCUUGUUAGCUGCUAACAAAGAGAGGCGGAAGUGAUCGACACAUCAAAGCAGAGAUCCAAUCCGCUUCAAACAGCUCUUCCUAGGGGAACCCGAGGCGUUCCCAAGCGAGCCAGUUUCUAACAUAAUAGUGAGAGUCCAGUCCAUGGUGGGGCCAGCCAGAGACCAUCCCGAGCGCAGACAGGUCAGCAACGCAGAGAUGUCCCCAACCGAUUAACAGACGUCUGUGAAGAACAUCUUCACCCUGAGCAACAGAAGUGGAGCUUCAGGAUGCAGACGGAGGAGCCACAGCCCUCCCACAUUAAGAAGGAAGAGGAAUACCUUCAGAUCCCCCAUUUUAAAGAGGAAGAGGAACACCCACUAAUCCCCAAAUUUAAAGCGGAAGCUGAGGAUCCACAGAGCCCUCACAUUAAGGAGGAAGAGGAAGAACACAGCAUCAGUCAGCAGGGAGAGCAUCUUGAAGGACUGGAGGAGGUUGAUGUCACCAAGAUGCCAGUGACUGGUGUCCCUGUGAAGAGUGAAGGUGAUGAGGUGAAAGGUGAAAGUGAGGAGAGGGGAGGGGGGGAGCCUCCAAGCAGCAGCUCAACACAACACAUGACAACAGAAGCUGAUGGAGACCACUGUGGAGGAUCACAAGCAGACAAGCUCUUAGCUCCACUAUCAGAUAGUGAGGACACAACGUCACACUCUCCUGACACUGAUGAUGAAGACUCUAAAGAUGAUAAGACAUGUCACACUGACAACACUCACUUCACAUCUUCUCACUGUCACAAAACUUUUAAAAACCAUAGUCAUCUGAAAAGACACAUGAGAAUACACACUGGAGAAAAACAUUUUAUCUGUUCAAUAUGUGGUAAAGGUAUUACACAAAGUUGGAGUUUGAAAGUGCACAUGAGAAUGCACAGUGGUAAAAAAACUUUUGUCUGUUCAACCUGUGGUAAAGGUUUUACACAAAGUACAGAUGUGAAAAUACACAUGAGAACACAUACUGGUGAAAAACCUUUUUCCUGUUCAACCUGUGGUAAAGGUUUUACAGAAAGUAAAAAUUUGAAAAGACACAUGAGAACACACACUGGUGAAAAAAAGAUUUUGUUCAAAGUAAACAUUUGAAAGUACACAUGAGAACACACACUGGUGAAAAACCUUUUCCUUGCUCAGAAUGUGGUAAAGGUUUUGUACAAAGUCCCCAUUUAAAAGUACACAUGAGAACACACACUGGUGAAAAACUGUUUUCCUGUUCAAUCUGUGGUAAAGGUUUUACACAAAGUCAUCAUUUGAAAGUACACGCAAGAAGACACACUGGUGAAAAACCUUUUUCCUGUUCAAUCUAUGGUAAAGGUUUUACAGAAAACUGGUGUUUGAAAGUACACAAGAGGACACACACUGGUGAAAAUUCACAUUCCUGUUCAAUCUGCAACAGAAGCUUUAGUGAACGAUCAAGCCUUGUAGCACACAUGAGAAGACACCCAGGAGAGAAAGUGUUGAGUUGCAGUGUGUGUGGUGAAAGAUUGUCUUCUAAGUACCAGUGUAAGAAACACAAGUGUGCUGGUGAGAACAGCAGCAGCAAAUGAAACUGCAGGAUUUGAAAUAAACUGUCCAGACUUUCAUUUUGACUUUCUAACAACAUCAGCACAUAUAACAUGUGUGACAUUGUUGUUUGUCUAACAAUCUGUUUAAUAUGCGCCUACAUUUAUAGAUUAGAUAUUUUAUAUUAAUGCUUUUUUUCAGUCAAGUACAUUCAUUAAUAUGCACCAUUGUGUACUUUUAUUAAAAAAUGGACGGAACAAUUUGAGUAAAAAGCUGAGAGUAAACAGUACAAUACACAUUUUACAUGCAAUAAACAUUUUGUGUGUAUGUAUACACACACACACACACACACACUCAUUUAUGUAUAUAUAUAUA